AUUGAACGCUGGCGGCAGGCCUAACACAUGCAAGUCGAGCGAGUGGCGGACGGGUGAGUAAUGUAUGGGGAUCUGCCCGAUAGAGGGGGAUAACUACUGGAAACGGUGGCUAAUACCGCAUACUAUCGGAUGUACCCAUAUGGGAUUAGCUUGUAGGUGGGGUAACGGCUCACCUAGGCGACGAUCUCUAGCUGGUCUGAGAGGAUGAUCAGCCACACUGGGACUGAGACACGGUCCAGACUCCUACGGGAGGCAGCAGUGGGGAAUAUUGCACAAUGGGCGCAAGCCUGAUGCAGCCAUGCCGCGUGUAUGAAGAAGGCCUUAGGGUUGUAAAGUACUUUCAGCGGGGAGGCGUUACCCGCAGAAGAAGCACCGGCUAACUCCGUGCCAGCAGCCGCGGUAAUAC
rnacentral:rRNA from 1 species